AAUCUGGCUUCCCUGGAGUUCAAAAUAAACGCAGCGAAGCCAAGUACCCCGCACGCCCUCGCGCACACCCCGCGGGGAGCCAACGCCCUCUUACGCACAAGCGCAGAGGCUUGUGGGCAGUGCCACCGCUCAGACAGAUUGUUCCUGUUCUUUGGCUUAUUGGAGAAGCUACUAUUUGUUUUCAAAUUAUUUUGUACAAUAUGACUUCAGUGAUUGCUGCUGCAGGAGUCUCGGGUCACAGACACGCUCAACCACCAACCUCUCUCUUUGAGUUAACCUGGCCAGCAAUGGAGCGUCCACUUCAGCACCACUUAUUAUCCAAAGCCUGCUCUGCAGCAUGAACGAUUUCCCCAGAAGUACUUCUCCCCAUGGCUCACUGUCAUGGAACCACAAUGGCCACCCUGCACAGAGGGGCUUGAAGGAAAUAGCUCCUAAGAUGGAGACAAAAAAGCGUUGAGUACCAUAUAUGAGGUUGACUCACUGAGUUCACAAUCUGAAAAACCUACCUCAUGAUUAUAAACCAGGACCUUGCUGUGAAGUGGAAAUUCUUGGAUACUAGGACAGAAGAACCUAACAUCUCCAGAAGCAGCUAAGGCAGAAUCAAUGCAAUGAAGGAAAGAAUUAGUGACGCAGAAACAUAUUUAAGAGGAAAUCCAAAAUACUAUUAAUUUAAUAAAUAUAAUGCCUCAUAAGGUCCUG
ensembl:lncRNA